UGUGUACCGGUUUAGUUGUCAGAUGGUUGCCUACCCGCAGGCGUAUUUGGCUCUUGACUGUGAAGGCCAAAAGAAAGAUAUCCCUCAGUCCCCAAUAUCCACGAAUGUUGAGCUUGCUAGACUUUUUUGUGUGACUUGCUCUCGUGCGUAUAUGUUCUUAUUUUUACUCUCUCAGUAGCUUAACCAAUCAGAAGUCCCGUUCUACGCAAGUCGCACAUGAUCGUAUAAAAUUGCGUUCAUACAAAGAUAAGGUUAACUUAAAUAUUGGUCCAAAAAGGGAAGCUCUUUCUUUCUGGUAGAGUACUUUGACCUGUGAACAAGUCAUUUUUAUAAAGUGGAGUGCAAAUUUUGAAAACGGGAACUUUGUUGAGAGUGCGCUCUUUCUCAUCUUUCUGGAAAAUAUUUUGGAAAUUUGGUAUCAGACAAUCAUCAUCACCAGAAUCACCAUCAACGUCGCCCGGACGUCGUAAAGUUCAUUUUCCUUCCAACCAGGGAAGAGGAGCAGCCAAGCAGAGCUCGAUGGGUCGGAAAAUUGUCCUAGGAAUUGAGGAUUUUCAGCGGAAUAAAUCAGAUCCUCUCGCUGGGCUCUCGGCGAGGAUUUUAAACAAAAACAGGAAACGCGACGUUGCUGGGAUAAAAAAAACGAAAUUUCCAAAGAAAAUCCUCGCACAAGUGGUUGUAAAUUAUUUAAACAAGCAGACGGGAAAUAAACAUCUC